AUUGAACGCUGGCGGCAGGCCUAACACAUGCAAGUCGAACGAGUGGCGGACGGGUGAGUAAUGUCUGGGAAACUGCCCGAUGGAGGGGGAUAACUACUGGAAACGGUAGCUAAUACCGCAUACCAUCGGAUGUGCCCAGAUGGGAUUAGCUAGUGGGUGGGGUAAUGGCUCACCAAGGCGACGAUCCCUAGCUGGUCUGAGAGGAUGACGAGCAACACUGGAACUGAGACACGGUCCAGACGCCUACGGGAGGCAGCAGUGGGGAAUAUUGCACAAUGGGCGCAAGCCUGAUGCAGCCAUGCCGCGUGUAUGAAGAAGGCCUUCGGGUUGUAAAGUACUUUCAGCGGGGAGGCGUUACCCGCAGAAGAAGCACCGGCUAACUCCGUGCCAGCCGCCGCGGUAAUAC
rnacentral:rRNA from 1 species